UGCUAUGACCAAGAAUUUUGUAUUUAGUUUUAAAAUAGUUGUAAUUAGUUUAAAAUAAAAUAAGAUUUAGUCAUCAUUUUCCCUACUAAACUUAUGCAUAUAAAUAAAUACUGAACCAAAGAUUGUCUUGGAACUGCCUAAAUUCCCUGAAAAAAAAACCCUGGGAUCUUCAACUAGCAUAACACUAAAAAAAAGAACAGCAUAUAGGCCCAAAUUCAGUUAUUGGCAUAAACAGUAGCCACAUUAAAAAAGAACGAAACAGGAAUGUUGGGAGAAAAAACCAAGCAUGAGGCAAGCAAACUGUACUCACAAAAACAACCAAAUGGAAGAAAGAGAAAAUCCUAAAUGGAAAGGAACCAAAAACUCUAACUGACAUAUUUGCAGGACUCGCUCAAGUCAAAUAUCACCUUAAAAAUAUAGAACCAUCAACAAAUGACCAGGAUGGACUAUGUGUAGAAGAAAAAAAAAUGACAAGAGAUAUCCUAUAGUUAGGAAAGGCUAUUUAUUGUACCAGGGAAAGCCAUUCUUGAGCCAUACAGAUGUAGGUAUCACACCCCAGAGAAGAAAUCUCUACAACAUAAAAGAAACAAAAAUCUUCCAAAGGAGCAGAGAUUACAAUAGAUGAAAGUUUAAGUGCUAAAAGGAGAAAUCCCUAAGACUCCAAAUGAGGAAGGUAUAAAAAUACUGUGCAAUUAUUUUCAUGUUUAAUUAAAAUGAGUGUGAUACUCAUUAUUCAUUAGCAUGCGUAAUACAGUUCAAAUAAAUAAACACACGUCCUCGUAUAAAUACACUCAUUCUUGGCUAUUGAAUUUUAUUUUAUUUUUACAAUAUAAUUACAAUGUCCUUUAUAAAAAUGUACGAUGUGAGAUAAAUCUUUUUUUACACAAUAAAUGACAAAGACUGUCAAUCUAAUUUCAAGCUGGCAAUAACGAAAAUAAAUAAAAGUGAAAUAAAAGAAACUGCUUAAUCCUUGUAAACAAAACAAGUAGAGGAUCGAGAUAAUUUAUUCACUCAUUUUUAAAAUCCCAUUCUGCAAAAGUAUCAAUCAAGUAUUUUAUGUUGUUUGAGAAGUGUAUUGUUUAAGAAAGUUUUAAGUUAGUGAAGGAAGUUAGAAUGAACAGGCUUUUGAAAUAUUAAUAAAACAUCUCUGUGAAGAUUGUGAUGACUUAUUCGUCUCUUUUGGUUUUUUCUUUUUUAAUCUGGAGUCCAUCCAAAAUGGUUUUGCACUAUACUACCUGUGACAAUCCUCCAAAUAAAAGUAAAAAACUUACAACACUAGCACAAUCGAUGCCAAUGGAAAUUUAAAAAAACAAAGAAGUAAAAUUGAAAUGAAGUCUUUAUUUUAGUUAACAAUUAAAAAAUAGAGUAUCAAAUGUAAUCUGGCUACAACUCUAUGAAAAUAACAAAAGAGCGCUGAAAAAUAUGUUUACUAAGUACUUAAAAACUUGGAUCCAAUUGAAAUCACAGUUGUUUGCUAUGGAUGAUGGCUGAAGACGACACUGAACACGUACGAAAAUGAAUUAGAGCAAGGCAGGAGAAAGGUACGUUGUCAGCUAGAGACAGAGUAAAAACAAUGUAUAAUACAUUAGAGAAGCUCAUUUAGAUUCGGUUCGGUAAGCGAAGAAUAUCAAAUUAAGUUAAAAAUGAUUCGCCGCUUUUCAACCAAGGGCGUGUUCGAUAAACAUAAAAAACUUGAAGAAAUAAUGUCUAAAUAUUUACCUGGUCCGUAAAACCUUUUGGCCGUGGAUACGUCGAAAACUUUUCCGUUGACGGCGACGAGAAUCCUGCCGUCAGGG